CCUACGUGUGGCUGCAGUGGGGAAUAUUGGACAAUGGGGUCAACCCUGAUCCAGCCAUGCCGCGUGUGUGAAGAAGGCCCGCGGGUUGUAAAGCACUUUCAGUGAUGAAGAACGCCUGGUGGUUAAUACCCAUCAGGAAAGACAUCACUCACAGAAGAAGCACCGGCUAACUCCGUGCCAGCAGCCGCGGUAAUACGGAGGGUGCGAGCGUUAAUCGGAAUUACUGGGCGUAAAGCGCGCGUAGGUGGCUUGAUAAGCCGGUUGUGAAAGCCCCGGGCUCAACCUGGGAACGGCCUCCGGAACUGUCAAGCUAGAGUGCAGGAGAGGAAGGUAGAAUUCCCGGUGUAGCGGUGAAAUGCGUAGAGAUCGGGAGGAAUACCAGUGGCGAAGGCGGCCUUCUGGACUGACACUGACACUGAGGUGCGAAAGCGUGGGUAGCAAACAGGAUUAGAUACCCUUGUAGUC
rnacentral:rRNA from 1 species